rnacentral:rRNA from 1 species
AACGCUGGCGGCGUGCUAACACAUGCAAGUCGAGCGGUAACAGGCGUAGCAAUACGUGCUGACGAGCGGCGAACGGGUGAGUAACGCUUCGGAAUCUGCCCAAUGGUGGGGAAUAACCAGCCGAAAGGUUGGCUAAUACCGCAUGAGCCCUACGGGGGAAAGCGGGGGAUCGUAAGACCUCGCGCCGAUGGAUGAGCCGAAGCCGGAUUAGCUAGUUGGUAGGGUAACGGCCUACCAAGGCGACGAUCCGUAGCUGGUCUGAGAGGACGACCAGCCACACUGGGACUGAGACACGGCCCAGACUCCUACGGGAGGCAGCAGUGGGGAAUAUUGGACAAUGGGGGAAACCCUGAUCCAGCGACGCCGCGUGUGUGAAGAAGGCCUGCGGGUUGUAAAGCACUUUUAGUGGGGAUGAAAAGCUCAGGGAUAACACCUCUGGGUCUUGACCUAACCCACAGAAAAAGCACCGGCUAACUCUGUGCCAGCAGCCGCGGUAAUACAGAGGGUGCGAGCGUUAAUCGGAAUUACUGGGCGUAAAGCGUACGUAGACGGUUGGAUAAGUCAGAUGUGAAAGCCCCGGGCUCAACCUGGGAAUGGCAUUUGAGACUGUUCGGCUANGGUGCGG